AUCAUGGCUCAGGAUGAACGCUAGCUACAGGCUUAACACAUGCAAGUCGAGGGGAAACGACAUCGAAAGCUUGCUUUUGAUGGGCGUCGACCGGCGCACGGGUGAGUAACGCGUAUCCAACCUGCCCACCACUUGGGGAUAACCUUGCGAAAGUAAGACUAAUACCCAAUGAUAUCUCUAGAAGACAUCUGAAAGAGAUUAAAGAUUUAUCGGUGAUGGAUGGGGAUGCGUCUGAUUAGCUUGUUGGCGGGGUAACGGCCCACCAAGGCAACGAUCAGUAGGGGUUCUGAGAGGAAGGUCCCCCACAUUGGAACUGAGACACGGUCCAAACUCCUACGGGAGGCAGCAGUGAGGAAUAUUGGUCAAUGGGCGAGAGCCUGAACCAGCCAAGUAGCGUGCAGGAUGACGGCCCUAUGGGUUGUAAACUGCUUUUAUAAGGGAAUAAAGUUAGUCUCGUGAGACUUUUUGCAUGUACCUUAUGAAUAAGGACCGGCUAAUUCCGUG
rnacentral:rRNA from 1 species